rnacentral:lncRNA from 1 species
CAGAGGCCGCAGAACGCACCACGCAUCUGGCCCCUGGGUCCUCCGAGCCUGUGAAGCCGCUGGGAUCCCCGGCCGGCAUGCACUUCAGCACGGUCACCAGGGACAUGGAAGCCUUCACGGCCAGCAGCCUGAGCGGCCUGGGGGCGGCAGGGGGCUUCCCGGGCGCCGCGUCGCCCGGCGCCGACCCGUUCGGCGCGCGCGAGCCCCCGCCGCCGCGCUACGAGCCGUGCUCCGCCGCCGCGCCGGGCGCCCCGGGCCCGCCGCACGCCUACCCGUUCGCGCCGGCCGCCGGGGCUGCCAGCAGCGCCGCGGAGCCCGAGGGCCCCGGGUCCAGCUGCGUGGCCGCCGCCAAGGCGCCGGUGAAGAAGAACGCGAAGGUGGCCAGCGUGAGCGUGCAGCUGGAGAUGAAGGCGCUGUGGGACGAGUUCAACCAGCUGGGCACCGAGAUGAUCGUCACCAAGGCCGGCAGGCGCAUGUUUCCCACCUUCCAAGUGAAGCUGUUCGGCAUGGACCCCAUGGCUGACUACAUGCUGCUCAUGGACUUUGUGCCUGUGGACGACAAGCGAUACCGGUACGCCUUCCACAGCUCGUCCUGGCUGGUGGCCGGGAAGGCAGACCCCGCCACGCCGGGCCGUGUCCACUACCACCCCGACUCGCCGGCCAAGGGGGCCCAGUGGAUGAAGCAGAUCGUCUCCUUCGACAAGCUCAAGCUGACCAACAACCUGCUGGACGACAACGGUCAUAUCAUUCUCAACUCCAUGCACAGAUACCAGCCGCGCUUCCACGUGGUCUACGUGGACCCACGCAAAGACAGCGAGAAGUACGCGGAGGAGAACUUCAAAACCUUCGUGUUUGAGGAGACACGCUUCACCGCGGUCACUGCCUACCAGAACCACCGGAUCACGCAGCUCAAGAUCGCCAGUAAUCCCUUCGCCAAAGGCUUCCGAGACUGCGACCCCGAGGACUGGCCCCGGAACCACCGGCCCGGCGCGCUGCCGCUCAUGAGCGCGUUCGCUCGCUCGCGCAACCCCGUGGCCUCCCCCACGCAGCCCAACGGCGCGGAGAAAGGUAGGCCGGGGUCGUGGGAUCCGGGCGGACGGCCGCGCCCGGCCUCGCCCGCGCCGCAGGGGCGCUCGCGGCCUUCGCGGUUGCACAAGGACUGCGGCGGCCGGGCAAGCGCGCACUCGCCCGCCGGCCCGACGGCUGCGCCCGCCCGCCCGCCCCGCCCCGCCCGCCGGCGGGCGCGGGCCCCUGGGGAGGGCCCGGAGCUGGGCAGGGGCGCCGGGCGGGGACCCGCGCGCUCUCGCCGGCUUCACCGCGGCUCAGCCGUCGGCCCUCCCCGCAGACACGGCCGAGGCCCGGCGAGAGUUCGAGCGCGACGCGGGCGGCCCGGCGGGGCUCGGGGACCCGGCGCACCCGCCGCAGCUGCUGGCGCGGGUGCUCAGCCCCGCGCUGCCCGGGCCCGGGGUCCCGCUGCCCGGCGCGCCCGGAGGCCGGCCCAGCCCCCCGCACCCCGAGCUGCGCCUGGAGGCGCCCGGCGCGUCGGAGCCACUGCACCACCACCCCUACAAGUACCCGGCCGCCGCCUACGACCACUACCUCGGGGCCAAGAGCCGGCCGGCGCCCUACCCGCUGCCCGGCCUGCGUGGCCACGGCUUCCACGCGCACCCGCACGCGCACCCGCACCACCACCCGGCUGUGAGCCCCGCCGCGGCCGCCGCCGCCGCCGCCGCCGCGGCCGCCGCCGCCGCCAGCAUGUAUUCGUCGGCCGGGGCCGCGCCGCCGGGCGCCUACGACUACUGCCCCAGAUAGUGCCCGCGCCCCCCGGGGCCCGGGCCGCGGGGCCGCCCCCCGCCAGCCCCAGGGCGGCCCUGGGACCCCGCUCCCCGGCGCUGGGACCCCCGGGGCGCGCAGCCAGCGCCGAAGUGCGCGCUGCGCGCGGGAAGGAAGUGGUAUUUAUUGUUCUCGGCGAGGCCGCGACGGCCCCGGCCCGGCUGGCCGCUGCAGCGUGGACGGCCCGAGAACCCCCGUCUGCAGGCGGUGUGGUGUAG